rnacentral:rRNA from 1 species
UUCGCAAUGCCCGAAAGGGUGACGAAGCGACGCCGCGUGCGGGAAGAAGGCCCUCGGGUUGUAAACCGCUGUCGGGAGUUAAGAAAUGCAAGGGUGUUAAUAGUAUCCUUGCUUGACUAAGGCUCCGGAGGAAGCCACGGCCAACUCUGUGCCAGCAGCCGCGGUAAUACAGAGGCGGCAAGCGUUGUUCGGAAUUAUUGGGCGUAAAGAGCACGUAGGCGGCUGUGUAAGUCGGUUGUGAGAGCCUUCCGCUCAACGGGAGAACGGCAUCCGAUACUGCAUAGCUUGAGUGCGGGAGGGGAGAGUGGAACUUCUGGUGGAGCGGUGAAAUGCGUAGAUAUCAGAAGGAACACCGGCGGCGAAGGCGACUCUCUGGCCCGUAACUGACGCUGAGUGUGCGAAAGCUAGGGGAGCAAACGGGAUUAGAUACCCCGGUAGUCCUAGCCGUAAACGAUGGGCACUAAGUAGAGGGGUUUU